rnacentral:rRNA from 1 species
CCUACGGGUGGCAGCAGUGGGGGAUAUUGCACAAUGGGGGAAACCCUGAUGCAGCGACGCCGCGUGGGUGAAGAAGCGCCUCGGCGCGUAAAGCCCUGUCAGCAGGGAAGAAAAUGACGGUACCUGAAGAAGAAGCACCGGCUAACUACGUGCCAGCAGCCGCGGUAAUACGGAGGGGGCAAGCGUUAUCCGGAUUUAGUGGGUGUAAAGGGGGCGCAGACGGCGAUGCAAGCCAGGAGGGAAAGCCCGGGGCCCAACCCCGGGACUGCUCGUGGAACUGCGUGGCUAGAGUGCAGGAGGGGCAGGCGGAAUGCCUGGUGUAGCGGUGAAAUGCGUAGAUAUCAGGAGGAACACCGGUGGCGAAGGCGGCCUGCUGGACUGCAACUGACGUUGAGGCCCGAAAGCGUGGGGAGCAAACAGGAUUAGAUACCCCAGUAGUC